GGAUGUGAGGGCGAUCUGGCUGCGACAUCUGUCACCCCAUUGAUCGCCAGGGUUGAUUCGGCUGAUCUGGCUGGCUAGGCAGGUGUCCCCUUCCUCCCUCACCACUCCAUGUGCGUCCCUCCCAAAGCUGCGCGCUCGGUCGAAGAGGACGACCUUCCCCGAUAGAGGAGGACCGUUCUUCGGUCAAGGGUAUACGAGUAGCUGCACUCCCCUGCUAGAACCUCCAAACAAGCUCUCAAGGUCCAUUUGUAGGAGAAAGUAGGGUAGUCAAGCUUCCAAGACUCCAGACACAUCCAAAUGAGGCGCUGCACGUGGCAGUCUGCCUUU
rnacentral:snRNA from 1 species